CUCACUUACUGAAGUUGAAGUUCCACGUUGAACCAGGUCCAGAUUCAAGCAACAAUUGAUUCCAUAAUAACGACCCUUUUUGUUGUUUGGUAGGCCUAUUCACGAAUUUUUU